GCGGCGCGGGGCGCGGGUGGUGCCGGCGCCGUUGCUGGCGGUGGCGCUCGCGGCGGGUGCGACCGGGGUGUUCGAUCUGUCCGUGCGGCG
rnacentral:tRNA from 1 species